rnacentral:rRNA from 1 species
UGGGCAACCUGCCCUCAGCUCUGGGAUAACCCCGGGAAACCGGGGCUAAUACCGGAUACGACCUCCACGGGCAUCUGUGGAGGUGGAAAGGGUUUCCGGCUGAGGAUGGGCCCGCGGCCUAUCAGCUUGUUGGUGGGGUGACGGCCCACCAAGGCGACGACGGGUAGCCGGCCUGAGAGGGUGACCGGCCACACUGGGACUGAGACACGACCAAGACUCCUACGGGAGGCA